UUGCUUAGGUAGCACAUGUACUAAAAUUGGAAUAAUACAGAAAAGGUAAGGAUGGCUCUUUGGCAAGGGGGACAGUAGGAACACAUGCAGAUUAUCAGUUUAUU
ensembl:snRNA U6 U6 spliceosomal RNA